rnacentral:tRNA from 1 species
GAGGUUGAGGCUCAGUGGUAGAGCGCUUGCCUAGCAUGUGUGAGGCACUGGGUUCGAUCCUCAGCACCUCA